rnacentral:rRNA from 1 species
UACGAAGGGUGCAAGCGUUAAUCGGAAUUACUGGGCGUAAAGCGUGCGUAGGCGGUUUCUUAAGUCUGCUGUGAAAGCCCCGGGCUCAACCUGGGAAUGGCGGUGGAUACUGAGAAGCUGGAGUACGGUAGAGGAAGGUGGAAUUCCCGGUGUAGCGGUGAAAUGCGUAGAGAUCGGGAGGAACACCUGCGGCGAAGGCGGGUUGCUGGGCCGACACUGACGCUGAUGAGCGAAAGCUAGGGGAGCAAACGGG